rnacentral:rRNA from 1 species
AGACCCGAAACCCGGUGAUCUAGCCAUGGGCAGGUUGAAGGUUGGGUAACACUAACUGGAGGACCGAACCGACUAAUGUUGAAAAAUUAGCGGAUGACCUGUGGCUGGGGGUGAAAGGCCAAUCAAACCGGGAGAUAGCUGGUUCUCCCCGAAAGCUAUUUAGGUAGCGCCUCGUGAAUUCAUCUCCGGGGGUAGAGCACUGUUUCGGCUAGGGGGCCAUCCCGGCUUACCAACCCGAUGCAAACUGCGAAUACCGGAGAAUGUUAUCACGGGAGACACACGGCGGGUGCUAACGUCCGUCGUGAAGAGGGAAACAACCCAGACCGCCAGCUAAGGUCCCAAAGUCAUGGUUAAGUGGGAAACGAUGUGGGAAGGCCCAGACAGCCAGGAUGUUGGCUUAGAAGCAGCCAUCAUUUAAAGAAAGCGUAAUAGCUCACUGGUCGAGUCGGCCUGCGCGGAAGAUGUAACGGGGCUAAACCAUGCACCGAAGCUGCGGCAGCGACACUGUGUGUUGUUGGGUAGGGGAGCGUUCUGUAAGCCUGCGAAGGUGGCCUGUGAGGGUUGCUGGAGGUAUCAGAAGUGCGAAUGCUGACAUAAGUAACGAUAAAGCGGGUGAAAAGCCCGCUCGCCGGAAGACCAAGGGUUCCUGUCCAACGUUAAUCGGGGCAGGGUGAGUCGACCCCUAAGGCGAGGCCGAAAGGCGUAGUCGAUGGGAAACGGGUUAAUAUUCCCGUACUUGGUGUUACUGCGAAGGGGGGACGGAGAAGGCUAUGUUGGCCGGGCGACGGUUGUCCCGGUUUAAGCGUGUAGGCUGGUUUUCCAGGCAAAUCCGGAAAAUCAAGGCUGAGGCGUGACGACGAGGCACUACGGUGCUGAAGCAACAAAUGCCCUGCUUCCAGGAAAA